GACGAACGCUGGCGGCGUGCUUAACACAUGCAAGUCGAACGGAAAGGCCCUGCUUUUGUGGGGUGCUCGAGUGGCGAACGGGGGAGUAACAGGUAAGUAACCUGCCCUUGACUUUGGGAUAACUUCAGGAAACUGGGGCUAAUACCGGAUAGGAGCUCCCGCUGCAUGGUGGGGGGUGGAAAGUUUCGGCGGGUGGGGAUGGACGCGCGGCUGAUCAGCUUGUUGGUUGGGUAGUGGCUUACCAAGGAUUUGACGGGUAGCCGGCCUGAGAGGGUGACCGGCGACAUGGGGACUGAGAUACGGCCCAGACUCCUAUGGGAGGCAGCAGUGGGGAGUAUUGUACAAUGGGCGGAAGCCUGAUGCAGAAACGCCGCGUGCGGGAUGACGGCUUGCGGGUUGUAAACCGCUUUAGCCUGUGACGCAGCGUGAGUGACGGUAAUGGGUAAAGAAGCACCGGCUAACUACGUG
rnacentral:rRNA from 1 species